rnacentral:tRNA from 1 species
CAUUAGAUGUCCGAAAGCAAGUAAUGGUCUCUUAAACCAUAUUAUAGUAUUAUAGCAAAUACUUCUAAUGA